rnacentral:lncRNA from 1 species
CUUAUUGCUCCUAUGUUCCCUCAUCUUUCUCAUACCUCAUCCUUGCCAAAAGUGCUUGUGUUGACCACCAAAACACCCCUUGGCUAGCCAUACACCCUAUUUUCCAUCAUUUUCUUCUUUUUCUUCCUCCUCUCCACUCUUCUCUUUUGUCUUUUUGGCUAUCACAACCACCACCCUUUUCUUUCCACCACUGUGAGUUUAUUUGCACCACCACUUCAUCACCGUCCACAACCAACAUUCUCUCUCUUUUCCUUUCGGUUUCCCCUCUCCUCUUCCACCGUGUCCACCA